GCAAAAUUGUUCACUUUUGCAGUCUUCUUGCUUUGUUCUUUUGUCGGAGCUUUGAAGUUACUGCUAGCUGUUUAAGUCUGCUGCUGGUGCGAAUUGUUCAAGGAUCAUUAUCAAUGGCUGAUCGGUUAGAUUUGCUUUGUUAUCUGAGUUCUUGUGUUUGAUGUAUUAAAGCUUUUGGCUCAUAUCUUUGGUUGGGAUCAGUUUUGAUUAUUUCUACCUGUAUGCUUAUUUGUAUGAAUAAUUUUACAUUUUCUUAGACUAGAGCUAAGUAAAUUUCCUGCAUAA